GGGGAAGUGGCGGAAUGGCAGACGCAACCGCCUCAAAAGCGGUCGAGGCAACUCAUGUGGGUUCGAGUCCCACCUUCCCUACCA
rnacentral:tRNA from 1 species